rnacentral:rRNA from 1 species
GAGGAAGGUAGAAUUCCCGGUGUAGCGGUGAAAUGCGUAGAGAUCGGGAGGAAUACCAGUGGCGAAGGCGGCCUUCUGGACUGACACUGACACUGAGGUGCGAAAGCGUGGGUAGCAAACAGGAUUAGAUACCCUGGUAGUCCACGCCGUAAACGAUGUCGACCAGCCGUUGGGUGCCUAGCGCACUUUGUGGCGAAGUUAACGCGAUAAGUCGACCGCCUGGGGAGUACGGCCGCAAGGUUAAAACUCAAAUGAAUUGACGGGGGCCCGCACAAGCGGUGGAGCAUGUGGUUUAAUUCGAUGCAACGCGAAUAACCUUACCUACUCUUGACAUCCUGCGAACUUGUGAGAGAUCACUUUGGUGCCUUCGGGAACGCAGAGACAGGUGCUGCAUGGCUGUCGUCAGCUCGUGUUGUGAAAUGUUGGGGUUAAGUCCCGUAACGAGCGCAACCCUUGUCCUUAUUGGCCAGCGCGUAAAGGCUGGAACUCUAAGGAGACUGCCCGGUG